rnacentral:rRNA from 1 species
GACGAACGCUGGCGGCGUGCUUAACACAUGCAAGUCGAACGAAGAGCGAUGGAAGCUUGCUUCUAUCAAUCUUAGUGGCGAACGGGUGAGUAACGCGUAAUCAACCUGCCCUUCAGAGGGGGACAACAGUUGGAAACGACUGCUAAUACCGCAUACGAUCUAAUCUCGGCAUCGAGGAAAGAUGAAAGGUGGCCUCUAUUUAUAGGCUAUCACUGAAGGAGGGGAUUGCGUCUGAUUAGCUAGUUGGAGGGGUAACGGCCCACCAAGGCGAUGAUCAGUAGCCGGUCUGAGAGGAUGAACGGCCACAUUGGGACUGAGACACGGCCCAGACUCCUACGGGAGGCAGCAGUGGGGAAUCUUCCGCAAUGGACGAAAGUCUGACGGAGCAACGCCGCGUGAGUGAUGACGGCCUUCGGGUUGUAAAGCUCUGUUAAUCGGGACGAAAGGCCUUCUUGCGAACAGUUAGAAGGAUUGACGGUACCGGAAGAGAAAGCCACGGCUAACUACGUG